rnacentral:tRNA from 1 species
GCCCGGAUGGCGAAAUUGGUAGACGCGCUAGUUUCAGGGACUAGUGUCAGUAAUGAUGUGCAAGUUCGAGUCUUGUUCCGGGCAC